rnacentral:rRNA from 1 species
UACGUAGGGGGCAAGCGUUGUCCGGAAUCAUUGGGCGUAAAGCGCGCGUAGGCGGCCCUGUAAGUCCGUUGUGAAAGUCAAAGGCUCAACCUUUGAAAGCCGAUGGAUACUGCAGGGCUAGAGUCCGGAAGAGGCGAGUGGAAUUCCUGGUGUAGCGGUGGAAUGCGCAGAUAUCGGGAGGAACACCAAUAGCGAAGGCAGCUCGCUGGGACGGUACUGACGCUAAGGCGCGAAAGCGUGGGGAGCGAACAGG